rnacentral:rRNA from 1 species
ACAAGCCUGAGAAACGGCUAGUAGGACUAAGGUCUGCAGCAGGCGCGAAACUUACACAAUGCUAGAUUACGAAAUGACAUAGCGAUGUAGUGAAGAAAAAUAACGAUGUACUUACAUUUAAACAUGUUAGUACAAUUGGAAUGAGACGACUCUAAACCAGUCAGUCGAGUAACAAAUGGAGGGCAAGUCUGGUGCCAGCAGCCGCGGUAAUUCCAGCUCCAUUAGCAUACAUUAAAGUUGUUGCGGUUAAAAAGCUCGUAGUUGAAUUUUGGACGGGCUCUAUUGGGGUGCAACCGUUAAGGUUUAUAUUAAGUUGGUUCGCCCAUUUUUUAUCAAACUGGUUGUAUUUCCCCUAUAGGAACCCGUUGUUUCGUCACUUAAUCGAGUGCGAAGCGGGCCGGUACUAUCGAAAACCUCCGGGUUUUCAAGUAACGGCAUGUUUACCUUGAGAAAAUUAGAGUGCUCACAGCAGGCAGUUGGGGUGUAAAAGCUCCUUUAUGCUUGAAUAAUGUUGCAUGGAAUAAUAGAAUACGGCCUCGGUUCUAUUCUGUUGGUCUUAUAGAACAACAAAAAAGUUGAUUAAAGCGAUCAAAAGUCCUUUUUGAGUGUGGCUUUGUGAUAUUUAAGUAAAUCAAAUCAUUCUGGUAUUGUUGUCUGGGGCCUUAAAAUCUCAGUACCUUGCUAGUUUUGAAUCUUGGUCCUCAAAUUCACCUAGUCAUUUAAAGCACUCUUAAUGUGGCUAGCUUUCUAAUCAACUGAGGCAAUGGUUAAAAGAAAUAGUCGCGGCGGCAUCAGUACUGCAUCGUGAGAGGUGAAAUUCU